UUCCUAUACAUCAAAACUAUAAAAUGGGUGUUUAAUAACAGAAUAUCGUAGCGAGUAAAUAUUUUUGCUGAGAAUUACGAUUUCCCAUUUUUGGUAAACCAAGUUUUAUUGAUUUAAACUUAUUUUAAUUUAGAAUUAAAAUAAAAAUAUUUAGUGAACUGAAUCAUCUAAGUAACUAAAGAAAAAAUCAACCGAGAAAACAUAAGUAGUGGAGAGCGAAAGUGUUGUAGAUUUAAAUAUACAAAUUAUUUAAUAUUUUUAAUAGCCAGAGAAGGUAAAAGCCCUGUAAAAUGAUGAUUAAUAUAUUUAUAUUUUAGUAAAUUGAUACAUGUCGUGUAUUUAUUGAAUAUUGGGGGACCACCCUCAAAAUCUAAAAAUUUUGAUGUUUGAUAGUGUACUAGUACUGUGAAGGAAAGGUGAAAAAGAAUUUGUAAAAUUGAAAAGAUAAUGAAAUUUAAUGCUAACAAGCAGUUGUAGCUUAAAAAAGUGACAACGUACCUUUUGUAUAAUGGAUCAACAAGUUUAUUUUAGUAGCGAGCUUAAGUAUUUAUUUAUGUAGGCGAAAAGAAAUUAAGUUUUAAAAUGCGAUUAGUUUCUAAAAUAAGACCCGAAACUAAGUGAUCUAACCAUGAGCAGGUUGAAUUUAAAGUGGUAACACUUAUUGGAGGACCGAACCCGUGUAUGUGGAAAUAUACUGGGAUGACUUGUGGUUAGGAGUGAAAGGCUAAUCAAACUUAGAGAUAGCUGGUUUUCUGCGAAAUCUAUUUAAGUAGAGCGUUUAAUAUUCUUAAAUUUAAGGUAGAGCUCUCGAUAAGUAAUGGGGAUGAAAAUCUUACUGAGUUUAUUGAAACUUCGAAUAUAAAUUUAAAGAUUUUAAGCAGACAGACUAUAAGUGCUAAGAUUUAUAGUCAAAAGGGAAACAGCCCAGAUUAAAGGUUAAGGUCCUAAAAAGUAAUUAAGUGAAAAAAAUGUAAGAGAGUAUUGACAAUCGGUAGGUGGGAUUAGAAGCAGCCAGCCUUUAAAGAAAGCGUAAUAGCUCACUGGUCUAGCUUUUUUGCAUUGAAAAUGUAAAGGGACUUAAAUUACUUGCCGAAACCGUAGAAUAAAUGAUUAUUACAUUUAUUGGUAGCAGAACGUUCUGUAAAUCGACAAAAGUUUAUGAUAACAUAAACUGAAGAAAUCAGAAGUGAUAAUGUUGAUAUGAGUAGCGAUAAACAAUGUGUAAAACAUUGUCGUCUUAAGUCCUAGGUUUCCAAAACAAGGCUAAUCCGUUUUGGUAAAAGUUAAUCGGUCUCUAAAAUAAAAACGAAAGUUUUAUAUUGAUGAGGAAAAAAUGAAAUUUUUUUAUUGUUUAAAGUGACAAAAUAUAAAUAUUAUUUUUAUUUUAUGGUAUUAAUCAAAGUAGUAUAAUAUUUUCAAGAAACAGCUUAAAAUAAUCAAACCGUACUUAAACCGACACAGGUGGACAAAUUUAGUAAAUUAAGACGCUUGAGAUAAUUAUGUUGAAGGAACUCGGCAAAAUGACUCCGUAACUUCGGGAGAAGGAGUAACUUUACUUGGGCAACCUUGUAAAGUUGUCACAAAAUCGGGGAUAGCGACUGUUUAAUAAAAACACAGGUCUCUGCUAAUUUGUAAAAAGAUGUAUUGAGGCUGACGCCUGCCCAGUGCUGCAAGAUUAAAGGAAGAAGUUAUUUGGCUUCGACCCUAAACCCCAGUAAACGGCGGCUGUAACUCUGACGGUCCUAAGGUAGCGAAAUUCCUUGGCAUUUAAUUGGUGUCCUGCAUGAAUGGCGUAACGACUGUCCCACUGUCUCCAACAUAAGCUCAGUGAAAUUGAAUUCUCCGUGAAGAUGCGGAGUACCUGCGGCUAGACGGGAAGUCCCCGUGCACCUUUACUAUAGUUAUAUAUUGUGAUAAAACUUUUUAUGUGUAGAAUAAGUGGGAGUUAUAUUACAACAUUGUACUAGCAGAUUUUUGCGCAAGCGAAUUAUUUAAACAAAAAAUGAAAUACCACUCUUAAAAUUUUUUAUCUCUAAUUUUUAUUUAAAGAACAUGUAUAAUGGGUAGUUUGACUGGGGCGGUCGCCUCCUAAAAAGUAACGGAGGCAUACAAAGGUAAGUUUAAAUUGAUUAUCACCAAUUUUUAAGCGUAAUAGUAAAUACUUGCUUGACUGUAAGAUUGACAAAUCAAACAGGGACGAAAGUCGGUUAUAGUGAUCCGAUAAUUCUAUGUGGACAUGGUUAUCGCUCAAUGAAUAAAAGGUACGCCGGGGAUAACAGGCUAAUCAUUCCCUAGAGACCCUAUCGACGGAAUGGUUUGGCACCUCGAUGUUGGAUUAUCGCAUCCUGGAGCUGUAGGUGGUUCCAAGGGUUUAGCUGUUCGCUAAGGAAGGCGGUACAUGAUCUGAGUUUAGAACGUUGUGAAACAGUUUGGUUCCUAUCUACCGUAGGUGUAAAAAAAUUGAAAGGAGUUGAUCCUAGUACGAGAGGACCGGGGAAAGCGAAUCUCUGGUGAAUCGAUUGUUAUACCAAUAGCAUCGUCGAGUAGCUAAAUUCGUAAUAAAUAAUCGCUGAAAGCAUCUAAGCGAGAAAUUAACCUUAAAAUUAGUUUUUUUUUAUGUAAAAGACUAUUACAUUGAUAGGCUUGAAGUGUAAGAGUUGUAAAAUUUUUAGCUGACAAGUACUAAAAAAUUAAAUAUUAAAAUU
rnacentral:rRNA from 1 species